CAUUCCGUUCUGAGACUGAUUAAAUGCAGACUCCAUCAAUGGCUCUUAACAUCAGCCAUUUUCUGCCAACCCUCUCUUCCCACCCCCUUGUUUUGUUUACCAUAAAACCUGAUGAAGAGUUCUGGAGAACUCAAAAACUUCUAAGCUGCUUUGUAAUUUUUUGGUUGGCCUAACCAAGAUAUGGCCCUUUUGUGUGAGUGUGGCAGGAUACCCAUCAAAACAUUAUUUAAUAUAGAAGAUAGAUGAUAAUUUGAAAAUAGGGUAAGUCAAGAUGUCUUAUCAAAGAUAAGCCUGCAGUGAUAACAGAAAUGAAAUUAGAUUUGUAAUGAAUUUAUGGUUGAGAGGAAUCCAGAUGUUUCAUUUUGAGUUUCCCAUCACUUUUUAAUAUUAUUUAUUUUAAUUUGUUGUCAUCUGACAUUGUGAUUAAUAUGUGCAUAAUUACCGUAAGCUUUAGAUGAGACUCAUUGGUAGUUUCAUUUGGACUUGUUUUCUCUCUAACUUGUUUGCUCCCCAUCCUGUCUUCCCAGGGCAGUUUUAAAAUAAAUCUCGCAACUGAAUCUUAGGGCUUAUUUUGAAACAAAAUUCUUUUGCUGCACAGGACUCAAGACGAAAUGUACCUUGGAUACGGAAAUUGAGACGGGAGGCUUGCAGCCAAAGUGGUUUCCUUGCAAGAGAAGGUAACAAUUCAAGAAAUGGCAAUGGACAGUUUUUUAAAAAGAAGGAGCCAAGAGUGCAGCGUCUUCUGUUGUUGCCUUUCAUCCUUAUAUUUAAUGUUAAAAGUUAAGUGGAUGUUGUGAAGUAACAUUAAAACCAAAGCCAGAAAUAUGAAACAAA